rnacentral:lncRNA from 1 species
CCGAUAGGAGAUUUGGUAGCCUGACUUUCAUACGAUUACAAAUCUGCUGAACAAGGGUCUCCACCAAAGCUAAUAAAUCACCAAGGUUUCAACCAAUUUUAAUGGAGGAGCUAAAUUGUAAUUAAAAAUUUUAAAAAUCAAAACGAGGACAAGGAGUUGUACUAAAUCAAAAAUAGGUAACAUUGAACAACAGCAACAAACUAUAUCUAUAUUCCAUUGCAGAAUAUAACAGGUAAGAAUAUAUCUUUAAUUAAAAUUAAGAUAACAUUGUUAUAAUUUUAACAUAAUUAUUUAAAAUUAGUUUUGUUAUUUAUUAAUCAGAAGGGCAACAAAUAGGGAAGGGGGUUAACCAAUAAUUAAUAUGAAUAUAUUACAUGAGAGCACGCAAGCACUGGAAAAGAAAGCAACCUUUGUUUGAUGUACACAUCGAUCACAAGAAUUGGAAGAAGCAGCAACAACAGUUGCAGAGGAGAUCAUAAGCAAGAAGCGAGACAAAAUAAAGAAUGUCAUUUUGUAUAUAAUUCGAUUAGGAUCGAGAGAGAUCAAUGUUUGAUAUAUAUAUAUAUAUAUAUAUAUAUAUAUAUAUAAUUACAGGGCUGGAAAGAGAGAGAGUAUAGGCAAUGCGAUGGAAGAGAGGAGGGUGAAGUAGUACAUGUUAUGUAUAGCUAGCUAGCUAGCAAAUGGCAUUUGUAAAAGUAAAUGACAAUUAAGGAAAGAGAUAUGCAUUUACGUGUAAACGCAGCAGGGCAAAAGCAUAACAUAGCAUAACAUAACAAAGCAUAUCAUCAUACAGGAGGAAAGUUGUAGUUGUCCCUCACUCACUCACUAACUACUUUGCCUUGACGCUAACAGUUGUUCCAAUACAAUACAUCCAUUUAGUAAAAACAUAUCAUAAUUCAUCAUUCACUUGGAAGGCAGUAAACUAAUGUGACAUUUGCCAACAACUAGACGUAGCUCAUGCAUUCUUUCAAAUAAAUGUGGUCGGGAAGCAGAUUAGCAAUGACAUUUUCAAGAAUAUUGUGACUUUGUAUAUAUACUUUUUCCUUUUGAAGAGCUCCAAGAUGUGUCUAGUAUUCCGUAAGCUUUCUAAGCGAUAAAUAAUGUUCCUCCAGAUCAAUUGAACUCCUAACACUGACAAGAUGACUAUAUCCAGAAAUCUCCACACUGAUCUUAUCAAUUUGAGCCUUCAUGUCUGCAAAUUGGUUUAUUCUCUCCUCUUUCUUUAGUUUCAAAUCUCCCACCACAUGUGUGACUAGAGUGAGUUGCCCUUUCAAUGUUUUUGCUUUCUUCUCUUAUCGGAUUUAUGAAUUUUAUAAUACAUGCUUUUAAAAAAGAAAUAUUAAAUAAAAUAAAGAAUUUUGACCAAAACUUUGAUUGAGAUCUUGAAUGUUAAUGAAAUUGUUGAAAUCUCGCUCUACCUCCUAUUUUAGAAUUAUUUUGUUACAGAGGAAAAUAGAAAAUAAGAAAGUGAUGCCCGCCUGAUUACAAACUGAUAACAUUUUAAGCAAUGAUAAAAAGAAGAUACUUUCCAAGCUUCUACAUAUCUGCUUUUCAUUAAGAUAUUCUCAAGUAGAUUAUAAAGUGGCAGUAAGCUUCAUGGAUAUUACUUAUAAAUGCAGGUUAUCUUGUAGAUUAUAAAAUGGCAAUAAGCUUCAUGGGUAUUCAUCAUCAAAGGCCUCUACUCAGUGUAUGUUGACCCGACUCUUAAAAGACUGUUUCUUAAAUGCUCUUCCAGUGUUGAUUCUAAUAAAUGCUCAAACAUGAUCAAUUUAUCUUCCCACUUAUGCCCCCUCCCAGCAACAUGAUAAAACUCAAUUACAUAAAUCCUGAAUAACAAAAUAAUUGAUAAAAAAACAACCAAUAUGCAGCCCAUAGAAAGUCUAUAAUUAACACUAAGGUAUAAGCAUUUCCCAUUUAUCAUGUUAAACUAGGAUUGGUUUAGCAAAAAAAAAAAGAGUAACAAUAACUUACGACUAAAGUAUAAAACCCUCUUGAGUUUCGUAUCUCUGAGAAAUUACAAUCAAUUUUAAAGAGUGAUUCUUAGUAUGUGUCAUCCAAACAGAAAAUACUCUUAGAGCGCGUUUGUUUCAAGGAAAAUGUUUUCUGCAUUUCAGACAAUUGGAAUAACUGUAAAAAUUGGUAAUUGUUUUGCAGGUCAAUGCACAAGUUAGUUUUCCGAAAAAAUGAUGUGUACUCUUCAACUACACAAGUCAUUUUCCCUGAAAAUCAUUUCUUAGAAACAAGCAGACCUUCAAAAUUUGGAGAAAGUUGAGAAUACAUAAUAGUCCUAAAAUAAGAGUCCAUUAUCAAAAUCAAUGUAAAGAAUUUAUGAAAAAAAACUCACUUUUUAAGGGUGGCAGUAUGAUUCACAUAUUCAAUUACAUUCACAAUUCACAAAUGCAGAUUACCAAAUAAUAAAUAAAAAUCAAAUGCUUGAUAUAAUGAUACAUUAAAACAGGGAACAAACUGAAAAUCAUUCAAUAACUCCAAAAAUUCAGUAAAAAUUUAUUUUUUAAAAUAAUAAUAAUUUGAGAAAUCAGUUUUGUACCAAAAUUCUUAAUAAUAACAAGUUCGACGAUUUUGAAAAGGGAUGAGCUAGGGAGUCGUUGAACCAAUGACACGUCGCCUAAUUAAAACUUAUCAUAACAAGCUUAUCAGAAUAAUUAAAACUAGAAGCUAUCUACUAAUUGAGAAGGAAUAAAAUCAAAAUAAAAUGAUGGGAAAAUGAAAAUUUACAUGGUUCUGACAAUAAAACAAUGUAAAAUGCCAACCUGUAUUAAAUUAGCAAUAAAAGCAAGGGGGUAAGAGAGAUCUAGUUUGAGUAGACAUUUUAUCAAACACGUUGUGAGCUUCCCUAAUUGCUACCAAACAAGAUAUAUAAUAAAUUACACACAGGUAGGUACUAAUAAUAUUAGGUUUCUUAACAGUAAAUACACAAAAUUAAAAACUAACCUUUACUUUAGGGACACCAAUGGAGGAGGAGGAGGCAACACACUGCCGCCAACACAAACCACUUAUCGACAAGUUAAAAUUUAGGGCUUGUUAGAGGGAGGAGAGAAAUAGAGGAAAUCAAAACAAAAUUAGGGGUAGAUGAGAUAAAUACAUUUUGUUUUUAUAUUUGAUUAAUGUAAAUAUAAAUUGAAAACCUAAAGACUGAAAUUACCUGCUCAAAUAGUUUCAAUAUGCAGAAUUGCUGUCAAGGGUUCCAAUGUGAGAGGGACGGAUGGAUGGAGUGAGAUGAGAGAGAUAUGUAUGGAGUUUGCAGUGGGAGAAAUGUGAGGACAUGCAGACAACAGAGCGAUGAGUUGUGGCUUUCUAUAGGGAGGAGGGGUUUACCGAAGAGGGAGAUGUUUGAUUUGUUAAUUCUUUUCCUUUUGUUGCUUACUGAUAUGUCGAAGACGACGAUUGAAGGAGAUAGGGCGAUUGAGGGAGAUAGGGCUCGACUGAAUGUAUUUUCUAAAUUGAGAGAGUUAAAAUUGAAGGAGAGAAUGGGCGUAAAAAUAAUGGGGGGACAUUUUC